rnacentral:pre_miRNA from 1 species
AGUGGGAUAGCUGGGACAAAUGACGGUUUCAUUCCAGGUUUUCUAAGUAAUCUCCAUACUGCUUUCCAGAUUGGUUGCACCAAUUUGCAGUCCCACUAGAAAU